AGAAAGAAAGAAAGAAAGAAAGAAAGGAAUCCUCAGUUCAAGAAACAAAGAAAGAGGGAUUCUUUGUGGUUUCUGUCAAAGAAUGGCCAAUUUGUUAACUUCUUCUUUCAUGAUUUGCGCUGCCUUAUUCAUCUUGAUCUUGAUGAGGGCAUCAUCCACCGUUCAGGGAAGUGGGGACCACCAGCAACACCUGGGAUGGAUACCCAUCACAUCAUCCUGCAAAGGGUCCAUAGCAGAGUGCAUGGCCGGUAAUGGGGAGGAGUUUGAGCUGGACUCAGAGAUCAGCAGGCGCAUUUUAGCAACCACUAAAUACAUCAGCUAUGGAGCACUGCAGAGGAACACUGUUCCCUGCUCUAGGAGAGGAGCCUCGUACUACAAUUGCCAGCCUGGGGCUCAGGCCAACCCCUACAACCGCGGCUGCAGUACCAUUA
rnacentral:misc_RNA from 1 species